GGAAGGCGGAUGUGACUGAGGACAGCAUGCGGACGUAAAGGGGGAAGGGUGCGCGUGACAGAGGACGCUAAAGACACGCCCCCAGUAGGUAUAUAGCGCCGGUAUGUGCAUCAGUUUGGCUAAGGACCCCCAAAAAUGGCACCUACGAAGAGACACGCUUACGAAGCACAGUUUAAACUGCAAGCUAUUAGUUACGCGGACGAACAUGGGAAACGAGUAGCCGCGAGAGAAUUCAAGAUCAACGAAUCCAUGGUUCGCAAGUGGAGGAAGCAGGAAAACGAACUUCGCCAAGUCAAGAAGAUGAAGCUGAGUUUCCAAGGAAACAAGGCGAGGUGGCCCGAGUUGGAAGGCCAACUUGAGCAAUGGAUUAAUGAGCAAAGAACAGCCGGGAGAAGAGUCUCUACAGUCACCAUUCGACUGAGGGCAAUAACGCUUGCAGAAGAAAUGAAAAUUUUACAUUUUCAAGGAGGUCCGUCUUGGUGCUUUUGUUUUAUGAAACGGCGCCAUCUAUCCAAUCCGAGCAAGGACUACCGUGGCGCAGAAACCUCCGGCAGAUUACAAGGAAAAGCUGGCCAUCUUCCGCUCCUACUGCAGUAAAAAAGAUUGCCGACAAACACAUCCAGCCCAAUCACAUCACCAACAUGGACGAGGUGCCGCUCACUUUCAACACCCUGGUAAACCACACUGUAGCGAUACGCACAACGGGGCACGAGAAGUCGGCUUUUACUGUUGUCCUUGGUUGCCAUGGUAAUGGACAGAAACUGCUACCUAUGGUGAGUUUUAAGAGGAAGAUGCUGCCUAAAGAAAAGUUUCCAGCCGAAGUGAUCAUUAAGGCCAAUCAAAAGUGCUGGAUGGACGAGGAGAAAAUGAGAGAGUGGCUGAGUGUGCUCUACGUAAAGAGACCGGAUGUUUUUUUCCACGCGGCACCGUCCCUGUUGAUCUGUGACUCCCUGCGCGCCCAUCUCACAGCCGUUGUGAAAAACCAAGUGCAACUAAGACUGGGAGGCAACGCUGGGCAAGUUACGCAACCAUAUGUGAAUGGAUUGUGGAUGCUUGGGCUAAGGUAUCUGCUUUGACUGCAACAUUACUGAACAGCCCCCGGCAACGAGACUGACUCUGACAAUGACGAGAGGGAACCCGGCGUGUUUGUUGGAGAACUUGCUCAGCUGUUCAUUUCGGAUACAGAAGAUGAGGACAUUGAUGGAUUUGUGGAUGAGGAUUGAUCAAAAAAUAACGUUAUGCAUCCAGCAGACCUUUGACUCCCAUUCCAGUACGCAGUGCAAACAAAAAGGUAAUUGCAUUUUUUUCUCCACGUCCCACGACAGAAAUUUCAACAAUGUAUUUUUAUUUUUCUAAACUGCAUGGGUUGUGUUUUGAGCAGAAGUAGGGACUGGUUUCAAGGAGAAUGACAACCACACAAGAUCCCAUUCACUGCCACCGAAGAAUAAAAUCCAGAUGUGGAUAAAACUUUGCUAGAUUUUAUGCGCAAGGUAAUAAAUACCUGGACUAUUGAGCAAACGGUAGAGGAGGAGAAUUUGGAGAAAAAAAGUGCAAGUGUGGGAGCCGCAUUUGUUCAUGCAUUUUUGUCUAAUACAAAUUCUGGACAGAAUUAUAAUUGUAAAUAAAUUAUAUGUUUCUCUCAAAAGCACUUUCUCAGUUGUUUUCAGAUGUUUGAGAUUUUCACAAAUGAUAAAAAAAAAUAUUGGUGUCAAAGUCAUUGUGCUGCUUGAUGUGUCUGCUUUCACAAAACGGCUGUUUUCUCAGUUUUUCUUCCAGAAACAGACUUGGCUGAAAGUAGCCUAUGUUUGACUGCUGAUUACUAAAGAACAGUAUAAGCUAUUUUUUUCCUGAUGAAAGAAGAGAGUCUGAUCUUUCGUUUGGUGGUUUUGGUGUUUACAUCGUCAUAGUAUAUAAUAUUUUGUGGAGCUUGAAAAAUCAGGGAAAUUGCUUGAAAAUGCCUGGCAGUCGAGUGGUUCCCUGCUAAGGAAACGGCUCGCAGUGAAUUAGUUAAGAGGAAACUGGUUUAGUACAGAGGGUGACAGUGUGUUUGAACCAAACUAUUGGCAGCUUGUAUCAGCCAAACCAAAUAUAAACUCUACAGCUGAAGAAACACACAGAGCAGCUUGUCCGCAUGCAAAUAAACCAAGUAUUCACUUUGCAGCAAGGGGCCAAGUAGUGUUCGUGUGUGUGCGGUGGAUGGAAAUAGAGGAAUAGAGAACAGGAAAUUAGCAUAGUUGCUGCAAACUGCACACAUGCGUGACCUCUGCUUGUGUGUUUCAUCACAUACUGAGAAGUUGGAGCAACCUGAACCCAUGUUAAAACCCUGAAAGUCCCUGACAUGGUUAAUAAUAUCUACUAUGUACCUUUCUUUCUCUUCUACGUAAGCCACGACCUCCGUUUGAAGAUGACCUUCUUGGGGUCACGUGGGGCAAGGUGUAAGAAACCAGGUCAAGCUUUUAAAUUUACAAAUACAGCCUUUCCAAACGACAAAAACGAAGAAAUGUGUGCAAAUCACUAAAUUGACUGUUAUCACGUCGUCCAGCGGACCAGUAGAGCCUAGACAACAGCCGAGGAAACAAAACCUGAAACUUACCCCAUGCUAGGAGGAUCCUCAAAUGAGUGCGGUAUGCCGAAAGCCUUUCCACCGAAAACCCCCUCGUCUGUUGUCCAACCUCGGUCUUCAAACUGUUUUUCCAGCAAAACGCUCCAACAGAAAUUUUUCUGUGGAGGGAAAAAUCACUUCCGACUCCCCGUUUUUCUUCCGACAGGAGUCCUCUCUUCUCAAAUCAGUUGUAGUCCAGCCUGCCUCCCUUUGUCCGCGGCUUUCCUCAGCCAACAACGCCGCGCCUACAACUCCGUGCGUAAUUACGCACCGGGAACUGUUUAACAGCUCUAGAAUCCACACAGAGAGAAGAAUUCCGACGAAAGCCGGGAAACAGCGCGCCUUUAGCCAAAGUUCCUCCGGGACAUGAGCUCGGUUCUUCUCCCGACUCUGCCAAGUCACACUGGGAUCACACUAACACCCAUUGGUGGGACCUCGGAGUGUUAAUCAGCGCCAUCUGCUGGUCUUAAAGUGAAAAAGUGACAAGCAACCCGCCCCCAAUUGCAUCUCCAAAGUCAGAGUGGAAAAACUAUAUUUACACCCCCAAAUAAACCAAACAAAAUCUAAAAGAAGAUGUGUAUCCCACUUCUGUAAUUCUGCCUUUAUGAAGGUAAUAAACUUGUCUGAGAGGUGAUCAUUUGUUUAUUAUGGUGCUUAUACUUUUCAACUGUAAAACUGCACUGCAUCAUACUGAGAGCUGUUCAUAUUUUGUUUUCCUUAUUUAAUGACUUUGGGAUAUUAGAAAAAGCUUCAGUAUGAUCUAUUGCAGUUCUACAUCACCGCAAACCACAAGCUAGAUAGAUAGAUAGAUAGAUAGAUAGAUAGAUAGAUAGACAGACAGACAGACAGACAGAUGCUUGUGCAAAGGCUAAUUAAAUAAAGGUGACUGAAAGUGAAAUCAUAUUUCUACAACAACAUAAGUAUACAAUAAAAUUUGAUGCAGUGCAAAAAAUCUGAUAGCCUUUGACUCAUUCUUUAUUUAAUCUUCACAGCUCAUUUCCUCCCCCCACGAACAUUCCAGCUGAAAGAUGCUUUAAAAGCAUUAGACACACCUGAUUAAAUAUGAUUUAGAGACACAAGUGGCUUUUGCUCAUGGAGGCAAAGCAGAAGAACAGAAUCAACAGAAACAGAUAAGCAAUGAGUGGUUUGUUUGCACGGAUUUUUUUUUUUGCUUUGCAAGGUUGUUCAGAGUAAACAGAUCUUGUUGACAGUGGUCUUGAGUACAAGCUGAACCAACUGGCCUAUGAUUACUACUGGCAGCCAAGUGUGAUGACACAAAAGGGUCUCUUUGGUGAAGACGUCAAAAAAUACAAUAAAGAAUGAAAUAAUGGCAUGCGAGAGCUGAAAAAAGAACCAUCCUGUCAUGGUCUGUGCCGUGCCGUUCCUGUUCGGAACUUGGGUGUCGCUUUGUGUCUCGCUUUUCUCUCUCUCUCUCUCUCUCUCUCUCUCUCUCUCUCUCUCUCCAGCAAUCAUCACCUCCUCGCCCGUGCACCUAAUCUCAAUCAGCACUUAUCACUCCCUGCAUAGAAGGCUGCCAGAUCCAGGAAUCCAGCGCCAGAGUAUUGAUGCUCGUCCGUAUUACACAGGCCGACUCUCUGUUCCUUCCGUGUCACCCGUGUCGCUGCCCAUUCAAGUCCCACCGUCCAGCUCUUCCACCUGUCCUCACUCCCGCCUCCUGCACAUUCCUCGUUCCGACGGGGCACCAUCACGCCUCAGAUAUCCAAACCCUAAGCUACCCUCUAAUAAACCAUUCUCAUCUACUUCCUCCGCCUCCGUCUGAGUUUGGGUCCAGUCCGAUAUCACACGAUUACUAAUCGUGACACAUCCCCAGUUAUGAUUUUACACCGAACUUCAUUAUGAAAUCAU